CUGAAACCACUAUGCCUUUACUUUACAUGUCUAUUUCUACACCUGUUGAAUAAACACGAUACAACAUGUACUGUAUAUAAGACAGACAGCUGUGGAACUGUUGGAAGAUUGAUUUCCACUUUGGAUGAAGCUAAGAUAGCAGUUUCCACCUUCCUCCAUCCCUUGUGCUAAGCUAGGCUAAACACCUGUUCCUUUAAAGCUGCAGUCUGUUAUCAUAAUUGAUAUUAAAAACGAGGCGAGGUGGGGAACUUAAAUGCACAGUUUUAAUGUAAAAAUAAAAAAAGAUAGAGUUUGAUGACGUCGUGAAGUAGCAUGGGAUCAUGGGAGUUGUUGUCUUCAUUGUUAAACAACCCCCACUGCCGAUGACAAAUUGAUCUGACGUGACUAAGAAGAAGAAAAUAUGAGGCAAAAUCAUGUUCACACACGAGGAGCCUGACUUACUGGUCUGAGCAGCCAAUAGGAGGGCAGACAGACACACAGACAGACAGCACUCUCUCUGUGUGUGUCAGGGCCAGUCCAGACCUGAAGGACCCCCCCCUGCUGUUCAUGAACGAGGACUGAGCGUCCCUCAUGUUGUCCCUGAACGUCCUGG